rfam:Ovis aries breed Texel chromosome 6, whole genome shotgun sequence.
UCCCUGGUGGCUCGGAUGGUAAAAGCAUCUGCCUACAAUGCAGGAGACCCAGGUUCCAUCCCUGGGUCGGGAA